AUUGAACGCUGGCGGCAUGCCUUACACAUGCAAGUCGAACGGCAGCGCGGACUUCGGUCUGGCGGCGAGUGGCGAACGGGUGAGUAAUACAUCGGAACGUACCCUGUUGUGGGGGAUAACUAGUCGAAAGAUUAGCUAAUACCGCAUACGACCUGAGGGUGAAAGUGGGGGACGGCAAGGCCUCACGCAGCAGGAGCGGCCGAUGUCUGAUUAGCUAGUUGGUGGGGUAAAGGCCCACCAAGGCGACGAUCAGUAGCUAGUCUGAGAGGACGAUCAGCCACACUGGGACUGAGACACGGCCCAGACUCCUACGGGAGGCAGCAGUGGGGAAUUUUGGACAAUGGGGGCAACCCUGAUCCAGCAAUGCCGCGUGUGUGAAGAAGGCCUUCGGGUUGUAAAGCACUUUUGUCCGGAAAGAAAUCGCGCUGGUUAAUACCUGGCGUGGAUGACGGUACCGGAAGAAUAAGCACCGGCUAACUACGUG
rnacentral:rRNA from 1 species